AUUGAACGCUGGCGGCAGGCCUAACACAUGCAAGUCGAACGGUAACAGGAAGACGCUUGCUUCUUUGCUGACGAGUGGCGGACGGGUGAGUAAUGUCUGGGAAACUGCCUGAUGGAGGGGGAUAACUACUGGAAACGGUAGCUAAUACCGCAUAACGUCGCAAGACCAAAGAGGGGGACCUUCGGGCCUCUUGCCAUCGGAUGUGCCCAGAUGGGAUUAGCUAGUAGGUGGGGUAACGGCUCACCUAGGCGACGAUCCCUAGCUGGUCUGAGAGGAUGACCAGCCACACUGGAACUGAGACACGGUCCAGACUCCUACGGGAGGCAGCAGUGGGGAAUAUUGCACAAUGGGCGCAAGCCUGAUGCAGCCAUGCCGCGUGUAUGAAGAAGGCCUUCGGGUUGUAAAGUACUUUCAGCGGGGAGGAAGGGAGUAAAGUUAAUACCUUUGCUCAUUGACGUUACCCGCAGAAGAAGCACCGGCUAACUCCGU
rnacentral:rRNA from 1 species